rnacentral:rRNA from 1 species
GCGGCGUGCUUCAUACAUGCAAGUCGAACGAGAAGCAGGAGCUUGCUCCUGUGGAAAGUGGCGGACGGGUGAGUAACACGUAGGAAAUCUGCCUUUGGGUGGGGGACAACAGUUGGAAACGACUGCUAAUACCCCAUAUGAGCUUGGUUGCAAUACCAAUCUUGAAAACUCCGGUGCCUAAAGAUGAGCCUGCGUCUGAUUAGCUUGUUGGCGGGGUAAUGGCCCACCAAGGCGACGAUCAGUAGCUGGUUUGAGAGGAUGAUCAGCCACAAUGGGACUGAGACACGGCCCAUACUCCUACGGGAGGCAGCAGUAGGGAAUGUUGCGCAAUGGGGGAAACCCUGACGCAGCAACGCCGCGUGAAUGACGAAGCCCUUCGGGGUGUAAAGUUCUGUCAGUAGGGAAGGAUUUUGACUGUACCUACAAAGGAAGCACCGGCUAACUCCGUGCCAGCAGCCGCCGUAA